rnacentral:lncRNA from 1 species
GAAGUGAUCCCCCAAAGAGACCUCCAGACUCUACCAUGAGUGUCUCCAGCUGAACUCAUCGUGUCUAAUCCUCACCCUAGCUUAUCCUGUUCAAAUCAUUUCCAUCUUUUUCUGGAUGAACCUGGGCGGAUGUCAGACCAGAGAAGAGCACAGAAUGUACCAGAGAGAGUGAGACUCCGUCUCAAAAAAAAACAAUAUAAGGUGAAGGCCAAGCAGGGUGGCACAUACCUGUUGUCUCACCUACUCAAAAGGCUGAGGCCAGAGGAGGAUUGCUGGAAGUGAGUUCAAAGCCAGCCUAGAGAAUAUAUUGAGACUCUGUCUCUAAAUUUUAUAUAUAUAUGGUGAAUUCACCUUUACCAUAUCUUUUAUGUAUAAGCAAUGGGAUUGAUUAGCAAGUAAUGGGACUCUGAAAUCAAAGGGGUAAAUUUGGGUAGAUCUUUAUAAAUAUAAUAACCUUGAACCCCA